GGGUUGUGAGGUUAAGCGACUAAGCGUACACGGUGGAUGCCCUGGCAGUCAGAGGCGAUGAAGGACGUGCUAAUCUGCGAUAAGCGUCGGUAAGGUGAUAUGAACCGUUAUAACCGGCGAUUUCCGAAUGGGGAAACCCAGUGUGUUUCGACACACUAUCAUUAACUGAAUCCAUAGGUUAAUGAGGCGAACCGGGGGAACUGAAACAUCUAAGUACCCCGAGGAAAAGAAAUCAACCGAGAUUCCCCCAGUAGCGGCGAGCGAACGGGGAGCAGCCCAGAGCCUGAAUCAGUGUGUGUGUUAGUGGAAGCGUCUGGAAAGGCGCGCGAUACAGGGUGACAGCCCCGUACACAAAAAUGCACAUACUGUGAGCUCGAUGAGUAGGGCGGGACACGUGGUAUCCUGUCUGAAUAUGGGGGGACCAUCCUCCAAGGCUAAAUACUCCUGACUGACCGAUAGUGAACCAGUACCGUGAGGGAAAGGCGAAAAGAACCCCGGCGAGGGGAGUGAAAAAGAACCUGAAACCGUGUACGUACAAGCAGUGGGAGCCUCUUAAUGGGGUGACUGCGUACCUUUUGUAUAAUGGGUCAGCGACUUAUAUUCUGUAGCAAGGUUAACCGAAUAGGGGAGCCGAAGGGAAACCGAGUCUUAACUGGGCGUUAAGUUGCAGGGUAUAGACCCGAAACCCGGUGAUCUAGCCAUGGGCAGGUUGAAGGUUGGGUAACACUAACUGGAGGACCGAACCGACUAAUGUUGAAAAAUUAGCGGAUGACUUGUGGCUGGGGGUGAAAGGCCAAUCAAACCGGGAGAUAGCUGGUUCUCCCCGAAAGCUAUUUAGGUAGCGCCUCGUGAAUUCAUCUCCGGGGGUAGAGCACUGUUUCGGCAAGGGGGUCAUCCCGACUUACCAACCCGAUGCAAACUGCGAAUACCGGAGAAUGUUAUCACGGGAGACACACGGCGGGUGCUAACGUCCGUCGUGAAGAGGGAAACAACCCAGACCGCCAGCUAAGGUCCCAAAGUCAUGGUUAAGUGGGAAACGAUGUGGGAAGGCCCAGACAGCCAGGAUGUUGGCUUAGAAGCAGCCAUCAUUUAAAGAAAGCGUAAUAGCUCACUGGUCGAGUCGGCCUGCGCGGAAGAUGUAACGGGGCUAAACCAUGCACCGAAGCUGCGGCAGCGACACUAUGUGUUGUUGGGUAGGGGAGCGUUCUGUAAGCCUGUGAAGGUGUACUGUGAGGUAUGCUGGAGGUAUCAGAAGUGCGAAUGCUGACAUAAGUAACGAUAAAGCGGGUGAAAAGCCCGCUCGCCGGAAGACCAAGGGUUCCUGUCCAACGUUAAUCGGGGCAGGGUGAGUCGACCCCUAAGGCGAGGCCGAAAGGCGUAGUCGAUGGGAAACAGGUUAAUAUUCCUGUACUUGGUGUUACUGCGAAGGGGGGACGGAGAAGGCUAUGUUGGCCGGGCGACGGUUGUCCCGGUUUAAGCGUGUAGGCUGGUUUUCCAGGCAAAUCCGGAAAAUCAAGGCUGAGGCGUGAUGACGAGGCACUACGGUGCUGAAGCAACAAAUGCCCUGCUUCCAGGAAAAGCCUCUAAGCAUCAGGUAACAUCAAAUCGUACCCCAAACCGACACAGGUGGUCAGGUAGAGAAUACCAAGGCGCUUGAGAGAACUCGGGUGAAGGAACUAGGCAAAAUGGUGCCGUAACUUCGGGAGAAGGCACGCUGAUAUGUAGGUGAAGUCCCUUGCGGAUGGAGCUGAAAUCAGUCGAAGAUACCAGCUGGCUGCAACUGUUUAUUAAAAACACAGCACUGUGCAAACACGAAAGUGGACGUAUACGGUGUGACGCCUGCCCGGUGCCGGAAGGUUAAUUGAUGGGGUUAGCGGUAACGCGAAGCUCUUGAUCGAAGCCCCGGUAAACGGCGGCCGUAACUAUAACGGUCCUAAGGUAGCGAAAUUCCUUGUCGGGUAAGUUCCGACCUGCACGAAUGGCGUAAUGAUGGCCAGGCUGUCUCCACCCGAGACUCAGUGAAAUUGAACUCGCUGUGAAGAUGCAGUGUACCCGCGGCAAGACGGAAAGACCCCGUGAACCUUUACUAUAGCUUGACACUGAACAUUGAGCCUUGAUGUGUAGGAUAGGUGGGAGGCUUUGAAGUGUGGACGCCAGUCUGCAUGGAGCCGGCCUUGAAAUACCACCCUUUAAUGUUUGAUGUUCUAACGUUGGCCCCUGAUCGGGGUUGCGGACAGUGUCUGGUGGGUAGUUUGACUGGGGCGGUCUCCUCCUAAAGAGUAACGGAGGAGCACGAAGGUUGGCUAAUCCUGGUCGGACAUCAGGAGGUUAGUGCAAUGGCAUAAGCCAGCUUGACUGCGAGCGUGACGGCGCGAGCAGGUGCGAAAGCAGGUCAUAGUGAUCCGGUGGUUCUGAAUGGAAGGGCCAUCGCUCAACGGAUAAAAGGUACUCCGGGGAUAACAGGCUGAUACCGCCCAAGAGUUCAUAUCGACGGCGGUGUUUGGCACCUCGAUGUCGGCUCAUCACAUCCUGGGGCUGAAGUAGGUCCCAAGGGUAUGGCUGUUCGCCAUUUAAAGUGGUACGCGAGCUGGGUUUAGAACGUCGUGAGACAGUUCGGUCCCUAUCUGCCGUGGGCGCUGGAGAACUGAGGGGGGCUGCUCCUAGUACGAGAGGACCGGAGUGGACGCAUCACUGGUGUUCGGGUUGUCAUGCCAAUGGCACUGCCCGGUAGCUAAAUGCGGAAGAGAUAAGUGCUGAAAGCAUCUAAGCACGAAACUUGCCCCGAGAUGAGUUCUCCCUGACUCCUUGAGAGUCCUGAAGGAACGUUGAAGACGACGACGUUAAUAGGCCGGGUGUGUAAGCGCAGCGAUGCGUUGAGCUAACCGGUACUAAUGAACCGUGAGGCUUAACCUUACAACGCCGAAG
rnacentral:rRNA from 1 species